AGGAAAAGAAAGAAAAGAGUUUGUGUGUUGGCGAUGCAUCGUCAGCUACUCCUGGGCUCGCAGCUAGCAGCCAGCACUAGGUAGCUGCUGCGGCCUACUUUGGAAUCCGCAGACGCUGAGGGGAGGUGACUCCCCAUGAGGUUGCACGCAAGCUGACAAAACGACGAGACGAAGGAAAAGGAGAGAGAGGGCGUGGAUGGAUGGAUGGAU
rnacentral:lncRNA from 1 species